UAUUUAUCUGCCUGUGAAGUACAUAUUAAACCAUUCCCAUUUGCUUAUACAGACACACUGACUGAAAUUUGAAGUAGCCAUUGUCUCUGCCUUGAAGGGCCUCAGUGCAGAAUGAGGGGUGGCAGGCACAUGAGCGGGCAUAGCCUGGGUCGGCUUUCUCUUUUUCUGAAAGCAAAUCCUGAGGAGCCCUCGCAGGAGUGGCUGACCUGUGUGCACAGAGAGAGGAUAAAACACUGACUGGAGCCCUGUCCUCAGCAGCCCAGGAAGAGAGGAUCGGGAUUCCAGGUUGAGGGAAAGAAGUGGUGGAAGCAGGAAGGGAAGCCAGCCAGUCCUGGGAUGGGAGCAGGAGGAGCCUGCUCCAAGGACGGGGAGGGACGGGCCCUCCUCCACAGGGGAGAGGAAAGUAUGAAACGUGCAGUAAGUGCCCACCACUUACUGGGCACUGUGCUAGGUGCUUACACACACGAUCCCUAGUAAUCCCUGUGACUCAGUGAUGCAACCCCAUUCAUCCACAGAAUGCACCUGCACCUCAAGAUUUCUGGGAAAAGCUCCUGUAAUGUUGGGUGAAAAAAACUGGAGACAAAAGAACACAGACACUUGAUUUCAUGUAUGUGUGAAUCCCAGACACACGCAAAGCCAAAUCAUCGUGUUCAUGAUGUGUGCCGAAGGGGUCAAACCCUGAACAAAAACAAGCAGUGGUUCUCUGAGGGCAGAGUCAUGUUUAGGAUGGCAACUGCUCAGCACUUUGAAAGGGACAGAAGGAUCCAUGGACCGGAAGAUAUUAAAGACACCCAGAGGUCAGUGCUAACAGAGGGAUUGGCAAGGCCCCUCUUCUGGAGUGUGUGAGGCAGUGAGCUGGUGUCCCUUCCCUCUCUGCAGCCACAGAGCUGCGUCUGUCCUGCAUCCACUGAAGCAGCUCAAGGAGUGGGCCCUGGGGAGGCAGAGUGAACAGACCUCACCCCUGCCUGGGAAGAGCAGCUCCAGGAGGCAGCAAACCAAGGCAGAAAAAGAG
rnacentral:lncRNA from 13 species